rnacentral:rRNA from 1 species
GGAUGACCAGCCACACUGGAACUGAGACACGGUCCAGACUCCUACGGGAGGCAGCAGUGGGGAAUAUUGCACAAUGGGCGCAAGCCUGAUGCAGCCAUGCCGCGUGUAUGAAGAAGGCCUUCGGGUUGUAAAGUACUUUCAGCGGGGAGGAAGGCGAUAAGGUUAAUAACCUUGUCGAUUGACGUUACCCGCAGAAGAAGCACCGGCUAACUCCGUGCCAGCAGCCGCGGUAAUACGGAGGGUGCAAGC